rnacentral:rRNA from 1 species
UAAGGAAUAUUGGUCAAUGGACGCAAGUCUGAACCAGCCAUGCCGCGUGAAGGAUGAAGGUCCUCUGGAUUGUAAACUUCUUUUAUCUGUGACGAAAACGGGAUUUUUAUCUCAAUUGACGGUACCAGAGGAAUAAGCACCGGCUAACUCCGUGCCAGCAGCCGCGGUAAUACGGAGGGUGCGAGCGUUAUCCGGAUUUACUGGGUUUAAAGGGUGCGUAGGUGGGCUUAUAAGUCAGUGGUGAAAUCUCCGAGCUUAACCUGGAAACUGCCGUUGAUACUAUAGGUCUUGAAUUAUCUGGAGGUAAGCGGAAUAUGUCAUGUAGCGGUGAAAUGCUUAGAUAUGACAUAGAACACCAAUUGCGAAGGCAGCUUACUACAUAUAAAUUGACGCUGAGGCACGAAAGCGUGGGGAUCAAACA